UCUCAUUUCUGGUGACGGUGGUAUUUUGCUGCACCGGCGGCAUUCACUCUAUCUCUUGGGGGGCUAUCGCUCCGGUCACCCGGUCAUGUCUGUAUUCUAUCCUUCUCUCAUCUAUCAGAUCGAUUUUAUAGUGGUCUGUAAGCCUGUUAUCUCUAUAUUUUGUAACAUUGAACCAGCCUAGUUGCCAUGGUUGUUUAUCUAUGAUGUCAACUAUCAUACCACAUAUUAUAGCCUACAUUCAUUCAUCCAUCCAUUCAUUUACUCAUUCAUCACCAUGUUCUACUCUCUCUCCUAGGUCACGAUUCCGGCUCUCUACCUACUGUCAUAAUCUAAGUUUUCAGCGCUCUCCUGACCAAGGUGCAUCUAUCAAUCAAAUCAUAACGCUCUGCUGUGUCUCUGCUCUCAGCGCAUCCGCGCCAUGUCUUCUCGCAUAGCCUAAGAUGGUGUCUCCUUGUAAGCGGUAGUUAAGCCGAAUUUGAAGCCACCACCACCCCUCCGUCCACCGUCACCAGUGGUUCCCGUCUGUUAGGGGGCAGGCUACGCCCGCCUCCAUCUCCGCUGGAGGAUAUGCUGUCCUACCCCGGAGUUCAACGCGAAGACGGGAACCUUCGCCAAACAGAUUCAUGCAUUUUGUAUCAAGUGUAAUUGUUCGCCAAACGGAUUCAUGCAUUUUUGUAUCAUGUCUAUUGUUCAAUAAAUGUUAAUAACGUUCA